UGUAGGAAUAUUUCCUCCACGAAUGUAUGGUUUAUCGCCAGAUGAUCUUACUUUGUCUAUGUGCUUAAAUUGCUUGAGUGAAGAAAAAUCAUUUGGUAUAUCUUCAUUUAGUAGUCAGCCACCAAAAUAACGAAUGAGAAAACUUUCGAGCACAAAGAUAUAUAAAGGUUUCUUUCGUGGAUAAGUAUUUCGUUUGGAUCCCGUCCUAU